rnacentral:rRNA from 1 species
UAUAAAUAAUUCUACUUUGAAACUGCGAAUGGCUCAUUAUAUCAGUUAUAGUUUAUUAGAAAUAAUUUACUACUUGGAUAACCGUAGUAAUUCUAGGGCUAAUACAUGAGUAAAUCCUCGACUUUGAAGAGGUGUGUUUAUUAGUAUGAAAACCAUAUGCUUUUGCAUAAUAGUGAGUAAUAAUAACCUUUCAUAUCGUAUGUUGUAAUAACGAUAGUUCUUUCAAGUUUCUGCCCUAUCAGCUUUCGAUGGUAGUGCAUUGGACUACCAUGGCAGUAACGGGUAACGAAGAAUUUGGGUUCGAUUUCGGAGAGGGAGCCUGAGAGAUGGCUACCACAUCCAAGGAAGGCAGCAGGCGCGUAAAUUACCCAAUCCUGACAUAGGGAGGUAGUGACAAUAAAUCACAAUGCGGGACUUUUAGUUUUGCAAUUGGAUUGAGAACAAUGUAAAAGAGUUAUCGAUAAACAAUUGGAGGGCAAGUCUGGUGCCAGCAGCCGCGGUAAUUCCAGCUCCAAUAGCGUAUAUUAACGUUGUUGCAG